rnacentral:lncRNA from 1 species
UUCCCACUCACCCCAUAUUUGCAGCAAAGCAAACAGAACCCAAAAACCCAAAGCCGACCGAGUUCGCAUUUUCCAUCGCUUUCCAGCAAAAUGUCAGCCGGACUGGGAAAAUGUAGCAAGAUCCGCCACAUUGUGAGGCUCCGCCAACUGCUGCGGCGGUGGCGCAGCAAGGCCCGCAUGUCAGCCAAUCGCAUACCGUCGGAUGUUCCCGCAGGACACGUGGCCGUCAGCGUGGGCAGCAGUUGCACCAGAUUUGUGGUGCGCGCGUCGUACCUGAACCACCCCGUCUUCAAGAAGCUCCUUGUAGAGGCCGAGGAGGAGUACGGCUUCUCCAACCAAGGCCCGCUCGCGAUACCCUGCGACGAGUCACUCUUCGAAGAGGUGCUCCGAUUCAUUUCUCGAUCCGAGUCGGGUGGGUCGACCCGGUUCGUCAAUCUAGACGACUUCCAAAGAUACUGCCACGCGGGCAUCCGGAGUAACCUCGAUUUCUGGGCCGAUUCUCGACCGUUGCUUCGUGGAUUUUCAGAUAAAACAAUUUGGUAAGCAAAGCGGAAAACCAAGUGCGUUUAGUUGGUAAUUUUAUUUUGGUUUCUGAAAAUAAAAGAGGAUAUGUACAAAAACACGCUUCGGUUGUCUCACCCGGGUGGACUCAGUCCGAGUUAUAUCGCUCUCCAUGGCUAGCAGCCAGCCAUCAGUUGAUUGAAGAGAGUAAACUGUUAAUGAUAUGACACAAAGAGUUCGAGCCUAAAAUGGGGCUCGGAUGGAUUAACCCAGUUGGGUGUACUUAGUGAUUGACGAUGGGGCCUUUUUGUUUUUGUUUUUUUUCCUUGAAAGUAAUAUGAUUAUUGGGCACUGAGUAAGAGUACAUGAAACUUCGAAGAAUGCUAUGGAGAUGGCAAAUGGGUGGGGGAGUGAUCCACCGCGUCGUCCCGGGUUCGAAUCGGAGUGGAGGCAGAGAAGCGAGCUGCUCCUGCUGCUGCUGAGGAGAAAGAUGAACAAACAAAACAAAAUUACUGAAUAUUAUUGGGUCUCGAUUUUCCUUGUAAAUUCUGUGAUUUAUUGAUUAAUUAAGGAUAAAUUGUAGAGAAAUUUUAUUAUGAUUGUUCACUAUGGCUACAUAUAAUAUUGACAACUAACCGUUUGUUGGUUGUGUAGCUUUUGUUAUGCCUUUUAGUUUUAUAUGAAUUUCAAUCAUGGGAGUGGGAGACGAGACGUUGUGGAAAUUAUAGUGGCGCCAAUCCACGUGAAACCAAAGCCAGAGUGUCCCUGUUUCCUUCGCUUCACCUCCUGCUUCAAUCUUGUCUUUUUUUUUUAACCAACAAAUUAUUGUGUG